rnacentral:rRNA from 1 species
CCUACGGGUGGCAGCAGUGGGGAAUAUUGCGCAAUGGGCGAAAGCCUGACGCAGCGACGCCGCGUGAGGGAUGAAGGUCUUCGGAUCGUAAACCUCUGUCAGCAGGGAAGAACGGUCACUGUGCUAAUCAGCAGUGAAUUGACGGUACCUGCAAAGGAAGCACCGGCUAACUCCGUGCCAGCAGCCGCGGGAAUUCGGAGGGUGCGAGCGUUAAUCGGAAUUACUGGGCGUAAAGCGGUCGGAGGGUGUAUGUUGAGUCAAGGGGGAAAUCCCCGCGCUCAACGUGGGAAAUGCCUUUGAAACUUGCGAAGUGAGGUGUGUGGGAGGAUAGGGGGAAUCCAGGGUGUGGAGUGGAA